ensembl:lncRNA TEX14BP testis expressed 14B, pseudogene
GCUCAAGCACCUCGGAUUCCCGCUCAUACAGCCGGCCGGAUCAUGUGGCAGUCAGGUGGCGACCACUAUCUAGCCCAACGUUGCUGGAGUUGUUGCAGCUCUGCCGGGCCCACAUAUCAGCGUUCGUGCAUGACGGUGAGUUGCCACCCAUGGCAUCUCUGGACCAGUUGCAGGCCAGAUUUGGGAACAGCCCGCCUGGCUCCCUGUCCUCCCUGAGGCUGAUGCAGGCAGACAGGUAACCGUCCACAUCCUGAAGCCCACCCGCCCAACCAUUCCCAGCCACCCCAGACUUACCCUCGGCCUGCCCCCACCCCAGGAUGCUGAGGCUAGCACAGAUCAGGAGAGCCUCCCAAGUCCCGGCCUUGGGGUUUGGUCAGGUAAGCAGGAGUGGCUGUAGGAGUGGGAACCACCCCUGUCUUCUUCGUGCCUCAUGAUCCUGCCUGUCCCUAGCUGAGUAGCCUGUGGCCACCGGGGCUGGUAACGGGCAUCCCCCUUGUGGACCCCAAGGAGCUGCUGGCAGCCCAGGGAGAGCCUGACUGCACCUAUGAGAGCAGCUCCCCACCCUCAUGGCCAAGUGAGAGCCCCGCUGUGCCCUUGCCAGCUCUCCUGCUCCCCUCCCAGGGAAAGCCCCCUCGUCUCAGGCCUGUACUGCCCCGCCCCUAUUCUCCAGCCUCCUGUGGAUGGGUCACAAAAUGACUGUGCAGCAGCCGAAGGCCCCUGGAACCCAGACAGAUGUGCUACUGGCUGACCUUCAGCACUGCAGGUCCCUGUCCAGCAGCCGUCGGCUCACCAGGGCCCUUGGGCUCCACAGGCAGCAGAAGGGCUACCCCUGGGGAGGCCCAGGCCCAGGGCUUCCCCCGCCCCCUGAACUACACCCAUGGCUGCCACUUCAGCUGAUCUGCGGUGACAUGCCCACCACCACCUCAGACCUCUACAGCUUCUGCAUCCUGAUCCAGGAGGUCUUCACUGAGAAACUGUACAUCAAGUGGCUCACAGAGCCAAGACCACACCCAGGCCUGUGGCCCCUGUGAUGUCCCCAGGCCCCAUCCCAUGCCAGCUCUCUGCCAUCCUUCUCUGCAGGCCUGAGACUCCUGAGGUCAGAGACCACAGCAGGAUCCCAAGGGGUGCAGCCUGGAACUUGGGCAGCAGCUUGACUCUAGGCAGCAGCUCUGGGCCCAGCCCAGGACCCAGCCCUGGGUCUGGCCACAGCCCCACAGCCAGGGUCAGCCUGCACUGCUGCCUGGAGCCCAGCUCAACAGUACAGAUACCCCCAGAGCCCUGCACAACUGUCCCACUGCUAACCUGUGACCCCCUCCGCCCGCCCUCCAGGAGUCACCAACCCGAAGUUCCCUGGCUGCCUCUCCUUUGACCAGGGAACUUUAGGGUCGCCCAACUGUCCCCUCACUCACCUAUGACCCUUAACCAACCCUGCUUCCCCCAGGGCCCUUCCCUGCACUCCAACUCCAGCCUCUAGGACUCAGCCUCCCUGCUGGGGACCCAGAGCUCUGCGGAACAGUUUGAGGAAGCUCUCAGCCAAGAUUCCAGCCCUGCAGGGGCUGCUGCGGCGCACACACAGGGUUAUUCUGCUGGAGCCCCAGCCCUGCACCCGGUACUGAGCUGACUAGAGGAGGUCUCUUCUCCAGCCUGCAGAAGAUGGACCUGCUGGAGGAGAUCAUAGCAGAGCUACAAAAAGGAUGUCAGCUUGGAGAAAAGCCCAGCCUGAGCCCCACUCCUGACCUAGACUCCCAGGGUGCCCAUGGUUCCCCUCUCUGCAGAUACCACCUCUCAGAGGCUCCCAGGAGUAACUCCUGCCUUGGUGCCUCCCCAAAAGGAAAUAGAAUGAUAAAGUGC